rnacentral:rRNA from 1 species
GUCCACGCCGUAAACGAUGUCGACUAGCCGUUGGCCCUAUUUACAGGGUUAGUGGCGCAGCUAACGCAUUAAGUCGACCGCCUGGGGGAGUACGGCCGCAAGGUUAAAACUCAAAUGAAUUGACGGGGGCCCGCACAAGCGGUGGAGCAUGUGGUUUAAUUCGAUGCAACGCGAAGAACCUUACCUACCCUUGACAUCCAGAGAAUCUGUUAGAGAUAGUAGAGUGCCUUCGGGAGCUCUGAGACAGGUGCUGCAUGGCUGUCGU